rnacentral:lncRNA from 1 species
ACCUUCUUACACUUUCUUCUUCAUACGCAUCAGCUCCAGGUUUGUAGCUUGAGCAACUUUAACUUUAUCGAUUAAAGUCGGUUCUACUCGUAUAUUUGCCAUCAUCACGUGGCUCCCUGGAGUAUUUAACUCUAUCUCCAUCCUUUAUAAGUCAUACAAAAUGGGCCUUUGCGUUGACAAUAGCGCACUCGUACCCACAUAUGAUCUUCUACUCAAUGUGUGAGCUACUACGUUCGCUUUUCCAGGAUGGUAUUGAAUGGUAUGAUCGUAAUCUUUCAACAGCUCAAGCCAACGUCGUU